CGAACGCUGGCGGCAGGCCUAACACAUGCAAGUCGAGCGCUACCUUCGGGUGGAGCGGCGGACGGGUGAGUAACGCGUGGGUAACCUGCCCCAUACAAAGGGAUAGCCACUGGAAACGGUGAUUAAUACCAUAUAACAUCAUAGUAUCGCAUGAUACAUUGGUCAAAGAUUUAUCGGUAUGGGAUGGACCCGCGUCUGAUUAGCUAGUUGGUAAGGUAAUGGCUUACCAAGGCGACGAUCAGUAGCCGACCUGAGAGGGUGAUC
rnacentral:rRNA from 1 species